CGAGCGCAGCGAGAGAACGUUGCGUCAGCAACGGCCCGCAGGGCGAGCUACGCAGUGGCGAGUCAUCCUCUAUCACCGGCAG
rnacentral:sRNA from 1 species